GGAGGGGAGAGCUCAGUGGUAGAGCGCAUGCUUAGCAGGCACAAGGUCCUGGGUUCAGCCCCCAGCACCGCCA
rnacentral:tRNA from 1 species